UUUCUGAACAUGGGUAAAUUGAGGCUCUGAGACUGUGUGUGAUGCACCAAAUAAAGCAGAGACUCCAGAGAGAAGAACAAAGCAACCUGGAAAACCUACUUCCUCUCUUCAUAUAAUUUUCUUCAAUCUAAAUACAGCUUUCUUCUUUAAAAUUGAGAUAAUGGCACCCAGUUCUGCAGCUCUGUGAUCCGCAGAUGUUUCUCCAAGAAAUAUGAAGAUGAACAAAGAAUGCAUAAAAAGUUGCUCUUAUGGGACAUCUGGGAACAAGAACAGGAGAUACAUUUUCAAAUGAAAAGUGGACUGGAAACCUUAGUUCUUAAGCUGGAAUUUAAUUGGUGCAAUAUUGGAGUUUAAAGAGUAAUAAAGUUUUUGUCCUCAGGUUAUGAGAAGAAAAUUACCCGUAACAUUUUUUUGGAUUAUAAUAUUUCAGCUCUUUCACCAUCUUUUUUCUGGUAUUAUAAUCAUUACUACUCUGAUCAUUCUCUGUGUUUCGUAUCUUCACCUCCAAGCAUUUUGAAUGGUGCUGAGAACCUCAGUGAACUUUUCAGAUGUGAGGCAGAGAUCAGCCACUGAUCAAAAUGCACUUGAACUGCAGAGUCUUCGGAGCCAUUUUCAGAAAGGCAAAAUGUGUCGCUCCUUGGAGAUGAGAUAAAUGGCAAAACCAGCACAGAUCACUCACUCUCACCUCCUAAUUGAAAAGCUGGCUGCUGAUCAAGAGCUGGCAGUGACCAGCUCAAGCCAUCAGGAUGCCAAUAUAUGUUUCGACCUUGUUUCUCCACCUCAGAAAGGGUCAAUCACAAAUUAAUGUUAUAUUAGUGAAAGCAAGGACUUCUAUUGAAGGGGGAAAUCUAUAAAAAUAGCAUCCAACGAAAUUAUGAAAAAAGGCUAGAGAGAAAAUUAGCCUAGACUGGCAGUGGAACAGUGUGUUUACUCAGUACAAAUAAGAUAAUCUAGAAUCUUAAUCAUAUCUAAAAAUGAUGAAGCAAAUCAGAUCUAAAACUGGUAUAUGAAAGUUUCAUUUUGGUUUUGUUUGGUUGGUUUUCUGCAGCAUAAGUUGCAAUCACUUUUCUGGUAAAAAUAUCUAUUCUAGUUUGCCACUAAGUAUUAUAUGCACAGGAAUACUAUACGAUGUCUUUUCUCCAAACCGACAAAUGCAAGAAAAAAUUCUCAAAUGGAUUCUAGUUGUAUGGUAAAAUGACACAUUAGGAUGACUCCAAAGUAGAGACACAUUUUUUUUUUUAAAACCUAUUUGAAUAGGUAAAAGCACUGGGAACCACACAAAUGACACAUU